AGCUGUUAAAAACUCCGAGUCCGACUCACCUAAGUCGCCACAACCGCGCCGAUAGGGUGGCCGGACCGCUCGAACCGGAAUCCACGGUUCGUAAGGGUGCCGAGAGAAAUGUCGUCGCCUCCCGUUUUGGAAAGGUGUUUAUGUUGGAAUUAC
rnacentral:ncRNA from 2 species